rnacentral:ncRNA from 2 species
AUCCCUGAGGAGCGCUGCGACGAACGCCGGAUACGGCACGCCAGGCUCAGGAAUCCUUGUCCGGGCGCCGCAUGCGGCGCCUUUGCAACGGCGCUCACCUUAG